rnacentral:rRNA from 1 species
GAUGAACGCUGGCGGCGUGCCUAAUACAUGCAAGUCGAGCGAACAGACGAGGAGCUUGCUCUUCUGACGUUAGCGGCGGACGGGUGAGUAACACGUGGAUAACCUACCUAUAAGACUGGGAUAACUUCGGGAAACCGGAGCUAAUACCGGAUAAUAUAUUGAACCGCAUGGUUCAAUAGUGAAAGACGGUUUUGCUGUCACUUAUAGAUGGAUCCGCGCCGCAUUAGCUAGUUGGUAAGGUAACGGCUUACCAAGGCGACGAUGCGUAGCCGACCUGAGAGGGUGAUCGGCCACACUGGAACUGAGACACGGUCCAGACUCCUACGGGAGGCAGCAGUAGGGAAUCUUCCGCAAUGAGCGAAAGCCUGACGGAGCAACGCCGCGUGAGUGAUGAAGGUCUUCGGAUCGUAAAACUCUGUUAUUAGGGAAGAACAAAUGUGUAAGUAACUAUGCACGUCUUGACGGUACCUAAUCAGAAAGCCACGGCUAACUACGUG